GAGUUUGAUCGUGGCUCAGAUUGAACGCUGGCGGCAUGCCUUACACAUGCAAGUCGAACGGCAGCACGGGAGCUUGCUCCUGGUGGCGAGUGGCGAACGGGUGAGUAAUGCAUCGGAACGUAUCCUGGAGUGGGGGAUAACGUAGCGAAAGUUACGCUAAUACCGCAUACGUCCUACGGGAGAAAGCAGGGGACCUUCGGGCCUUGCGCUAUCAGAUGAGCCUAGGUCGGAUUAGCUAGUUGGUGGGGUAAUGGCUCACCAAGGCGACGAUCCGUAACUGGUCUGAGAGGAUGAUCAGUCACACUGGAACUGAGACACGGUCCAGACUCCUACGGGAGGCAGCAGUGGGGGAAUAUUGGACAAUGGCGAAAGCCUGAUCCAGCCAUGCCGCGUGUGUGAAGAAGGUCUUCGGAUUGUAAAGCACUUUAAGUUGGAGGAAGGGCAGUAAGUUAAUACCUUGCUGUUUUGACGUUACCGACAGAAUAAGCACCGGCUAACUCUGU
rnacentral:rRNA from 1 species